UCUAAUGUGGCAGAUUAGUGCAGCGAAUUUAAGCUUCCCUUAUAAAGUAACCUUUCUUUAGAA
rnacentral:tRNA from 1 species